UACGUAGGGUGCGAGCGUUAAUCGGAAUUACUGGGCGUAAAGCGUGCGCAGGCGGUUCGUUAAGUCAGAUGUGAAAGCCCCGGGCUCAACCUGGGAACUGCAUUUGAAACUGGCGGGCUUGAGUGUGGCAGAGGGGGGUGGAAUUCCGCGUGUAGCAGUGAAAUGCGUAGAGAUGCGGAGGAACACCGACGGCGAAGGCAGCUCGCUGGGACGGUACUGACGCUGAGGCGCGAAAGCGUGGGGAGCGAACAGG
rnacentral:rRNA from 1 species